UACAGAGGGGGCUAGCGUUAUUCGGAAUUAUUGGGCGUAAAGAGCGUGUAGGCGGCCAUACAGGUCCGUUGUGAAAACUCGAGGCUCAACCUCGAGACGUCGGCGGAAACCAUCUGGCUAGAGUCCGGAAGAGGAGAGUGGAAUUCCUGGUGUAGCGGUGAAAUGCGUAGAUAUCAGGAGGAACACCUGCGGUGUAGACGGCUUACUGGACCAUAACUGACGCUGAGGCACGAAAGCGUGGGUAGCAAACAGG
rnacentral:rRNA from 1 species